rnacentral:sRNA from 1 species
GUGAUCCCGGCGACAUACUACCUCUGGCCCCGAGAUCAGAAUGCCGAGCAAAUUCGAUUAAAGAAUAUCAGAAAAGUAUAUGGAAGGUGUAUGUGGUAUCGUUUACGGUUAUUAAAACCCCAGCCAAAUAUUAUUCCUACAGUAAAGAAAAUAGUUCUGCUUGCAGGAUGGGCAUUGUUCUUAUUCCUUGCAUAUAAAGUUUCCAAAACAGACCGAGAAUACCAAGAAUACAAUCCUUAUGAAGUAUUAAAUUUGGAUCCUGGAGCCACAGUAGCAGAAAUUAAAAAACAAUAUCGUUUGCUGUCACUUAAAUAUCAUCCAGAUAAAGGAGGUGAUGAGGUUAUGUUCAUGAGGAUAGCAAAAGCUUAUGCUGCUUUAACUGAUGAAGAGUCCCGGAAAAAUUGGGAAGAAUUUGGAAAUCCAGAUGGGCCUCAAGCCACGAGCUUUGGAAUUGCCCUGCCAGCUUGGAUAGUUGACCAGAAAAAUUCAAUUCUGGUUUUACUUGUAUAUGGAUUGGCAUUUAUGGUUAUCCUUCCAGUUGUUGUGGUAAGUUUUAGCUUUUUAAGUUAAUGUUUUUUUUGGAAAGGAGAUUGACAUGUUUUGGAGUCUCCCUAUAACAUUUUAAAUGUAUGUUAGAAUAUAACCCAUUGAUCCUUGAAUUUAAGAGUCUUGCCACUGAAGCUGAGGUGGGAGGAUCGCUUGAGCCUAGGUGUUUGAGGUUGCG